rnacentral:rRNA from 1 species
AGAGUUUGAUCCUGGCUCAGAACGAACGCUGGCGGCAUGCCUAACACAUGCAAGUCGAACGAGACCUUCGGGUCUAGUGGCGCACGGGUGCGUAACGCGUGGGAAUCUGCCCAAAGGUUCGGAAUAACUCAGGGAAACUUGAGCUAAUACCGGAUGAUGUCGCAAGACCAAAGAUUUAUCGCCUUUGGAUGAGCCCGCGU